UGGGAUUAAUCAUGUCACAAGGACCUCAC
rnacentral:piRNA from 1 species